UUUCUAAAUUUAUUGAGUCCUCUCUUUUUCUUGGUAAGUCUGGCUAAGGGUUUAUCAAUUUUGUUGAUCUUUUCAAAGAACCAGCCUUUCAUUUCAUUGAUCUUUUCUAUGGUUUUCUUUGUUUCUAUUUCAUUGAUUUCUGCUCUAAUAUUUAUGAUUUCUUUCCUUCUACUAACUUGAGGUCUUGUAUGUUCUCUCUCUAGCUGCUUUAGAUGUAAAAUUAUCUUGUUUAUUUGAGCUUUUUCUUGUUUCCUGAGGUGGGCUUGUAUUGCUAUAAUCUUUUCUCUUAGAACAGCUUUUGCUGCAUCCCAUAGGUUAUGGAGUGUUGUAUCUUUGUUGUCAUUUGCUUCUACGUAUUUUUAAAUUUCCUCUUUGAUUUCCUCAGUGAUCCAUUGGUUGUUUAGUAGCAUGUUAUCUAGUCUCCACGUGUUUGUGUUUUUUGCAGUUUUUUUCUUGUUGUUGACUUCCAGUCUAUAGUGUUGUGGUCAGAAAAGAUGCUUGAUAUGAUUUCAAUUUUCUUAAAGUUUCCAAGCCUUGAUUUGUGGCCCAGAAUGUGUUCAAUCCUAGAGAAUAUUCUGUGUGCACUUGAGAAGAAUGUGUAUUUUGCUGCUUUUAGAUGGAAUGCCCUAUAAAUAUCUAAGUCCAUCUGUUCUAAUGCUUCAUUUAGGGCCUGUGUUUCCAUGUUGAUUUUAUGUCUGGAUGAUCUUUCUGUUUCUGUAAGUGGGGUGUUAAAGUCCCCUGCUAUUAUUGCGUUAUCAUCACUUUCUCCUUUUAAGGUUGUUAGCAGUUGCCUUAUAUAUUGAGUAUAUAUUAAGUGAUCCUAUGUUGAGUGCGUAUAUAUUUACAAUUGUUACAUCUUCUUGGAUUGAUCCUUUGAUCAUUAUGUAAUGUCCUACUCUGUCUCUUAUAAUAUUUAUUUCAAGGUCUAUUUUGUUUGUUAUGAGUAUUGCUACUCCAGCUUUCUUUUGAUUCCUCUUUGCAUGGAAUAUUUUCUUCCAUCCACUCACUUUCAAUUUGUAUAUGUCCCUAGAAGUAAAGUGGGUCUCUUGAAGAGAGCAUAUAUGUGGGUCUUGUUUUUGUAUCCAUUCAGCCAGUCUAUGUCCUUUGAUUGGGGCAUUUAUUCCAUUUACGUUUAAGGUAAUUAUUGAUAUUAUGUUCUUAUUGUUAUUUUAUUAACUAGCACAGUUUAUUUAAUUGGAUUUGUUUUUGUUGGACUUUUUUCUUCCAUUCUCUUGUUCUCUCUUCUUCUGGUUUGAUGACUAGCUUUAGUGUUGUAUUUGAGUUGAUUUUUCUUAUUUGUGUGUAUCAAUUGUAAAUUUUUGGUUUGCAGGUACCCUGAAGUUUUGAUACAAGAAUACACACACACACACACGAGAUUGUUUUGUUAGUCUCUUAAUUGCAAGUGCAUCUCCAGUGUCCUGCAUGUGUGCCCUCCUCUUCUCAUGAUUUAUGAUUUUGAUAGCAUAUUUGUGCAUGGAUGAUUUUCUACCUUUACUGUAUAUAUGCCUUUACUGGUAAGCCUUGUAAUUUGUGAUAUUUUUGUUUCUAGUUGUGGCCUUUCCUUUUCUGCCUAGAGAAGUUUCUUUAGUAUUUGUUGUAAAGCUGGUUUAGUGUUGCUGAGUUCUCUUAGCUUUUGCUUACCUGUGAAUCUUUUUGAUUUCUCCUUCAAAUAUGAUUGAGAGCCUUGCUGGUUGGAGAUUUUUUCCUUUCAUCACGUUAAGUAUGUCAUGCCACUCCCUCCUGGCCUGCAGAGCUUCUGCUGAAAAAUCUGCCGAUAACCAUAUCAGGGUUCCCUUGUAUAUUACUUGUUUCUUUUCCCUAGCUGCUUUCAGUAUUUUCUCUUGGUCUUUAAUUUUGGUCAGUUUGAUUAAUAUGUGUCUCAGGGUGUUUGCCCUUGGGUUUAUUUUAUAUGGUACUCAUUGUGCUUCCUGGAUUUGAGUGAGUGGUUUCCUUUCCCAUGUUAGGGAAGUUUUCAGCUAUUAUAUCUUUGAAUGUUUUUUCUGUCCCUUUCUCUCUCUCUUCUCCUUCUGGCACCCCUAUAAUAUGGAUGUUGUUGCAUUUAACAUUGUCGCAGACUUCUCUGAGACUGUCUUCAUUUCUUUUCAAUCUUUUUUCUCUUUUCUGUUCCACAUCAGUGAUUUCCACUAGUCUGUCCUCCAUCUCACUUAUUGAUUCUUCUGUCUCCUGUAUUCUGCUGUUGUUUGCUUCUAAUGAAUUUUUUGUUAUUGUAUUUUGCAUCUCUGCUUGCUUAAGUUUUAAAUCUUGUGUUUCUUUGCUCAAUAUUUGCUGUAAUUUAUCAGUCUUUGCCUCCACUUUAUUUCCAAUGUCUUGCAGCAUCUUCGGCAUCAUCAGUCUAAAGUAUUUUUCCUGAAGGCUGAUAAUCUCCAGGUCACUUAGCUGUUUUUCUUGGGUUUUUUUCUUGUUCCCUUAUCUGAGUUAUAGUUCUCUGCCUUUUCACUUUUAUAGGUUUUUGGUGUUUUGUCCUUUUUGCAGACAAUAGAAUUGUAGCCUCUCUUACUUCUGAUGUCUGCCCCACUUGUGGCUGAGGUUAGUACGGGGGCUUGCUGUAGGCUUCCUGAUGGGAGGGACUGGUGCCUGCCCACUGGUAGGUGGGGCUGAUUUCUAUCACUCUGGUGGGUAUUGUUUUUUCUCUGGGUGAGAUUAGAGGCAGCUGUGUGCCUGGUUGGUCUUUAGGCAGCCUGUUUACUGGGUGGAGCUGUAAUCCCACCUGGAUUAUUGUUUGGCCUGGGACUUCUCAGUGCUGAUGGGUGGGGGCAGAUUUUCUCAAAAUAGCCACCUCUAGAGGAACACAUCCUGAUGAAUAUUUCUGAGACCUUUGCCUCCAAUGUCCUUCCCUCACAAC
rnacentral:lncRNA from 1 species